GCUUGCUUCAGCAGCACACAUAUACUAAAAUUGGAACAAUACAGAAAAGAUUAGAAUGGCCCCUGUGCAAGGAUGACAUGCAAAUUCAUGAAGCAUUCCGUAUUUGG